rnacentral:misc_RNA from 1 species
UACAAACGAAUCAAGCGGACUAUUUGAAAGCUUGCUUUCAAAUAGUUAGCUUCGCACGGGUGAGUAACACAUGGGUAACCUGCCUGUAAGACUGGGAUAACUCCGGGAAACCGGUGCUAAUACCAGAUGGUUUCUUUUCUCGCAUGAGACGAAGAAGGAAAGAUGGCUCCGGCUAUCACUUACGGAUGGACCCGCGGCGCAUUAGCUAGUUGGUGAGGUAAUGGCUCACCAAGGCAACGAUGCGUAGCCGACCUGAGAGGGUGAUCGGCCACACUGGGACUGAGACACGGCCCAG